rnacentral:rRNA from 1 species
AACGACUCUCGGCAACGGAUAUCUCGGCUCUCGCAUCGAUGAAGAACGUAGCGAAAUGCGAUACUUGGUGUGAAUUGCAGAAUCCCGCGAACCAUCGAGUCUUUGAACGCAAGUUGCGCCCGAAGCCAUCAGGCCGAGGGCACGUCUGGCUGGGCGUCGCACGAU